GAUAUUCCCUUGAAGUGGAAAUGCAGUGUGUGGGGAAUUAUGCAGAAGGCAAUUAUGUGAUGUCCUAAACCUCAACACCUGUAUAGUGAUGUAUAAACAUCAAGAAAAUACAUGAUCAAGUUCUUGCAGGAGGUUGCUGCUUACUCGUACCUGGAGAGGUCAUAUGUAGAAUCUACUUGGCAAUGCAUGUUCAAUCUACUGUGUGUAUAAAAUGAUUAAGGUAGGAACAUACUUUUCUCUUACUGGGGUUGUAUGCACUAAAGAUACUUCAAUUUAAUUUGCUGUUCCUUAUUGCUAAUGGAGAAUCCAAAAUUUACAUGUCCAAACUUUUCUUUGAGUCAAGCAAGGCCAGGACACCAAACACAUCUUUUGUAUAUUAUUUUUAAUGGUCUAACCUUGUCAUAUAACACAUUUUAUACUGUUUGACAGUCACUCUUGCUUUUGAGUUUUGAAUUUUUAUUACAUCUGUGUUCUAGCUUAAUGCUGGUUUAAUUCUUAAAGCUAAUCAAUAAUGAUGAAUUGUCAAAGUUAUCACCGCACUUGCAUGUUGAUUCACUUUAAUUGGUUGGCUUCCUUUGAUUCACUUGUAUAUAUGUAGACACACACACACACACAGCUUAUGCGAAUCCUUGCCCUACCUUGGUCUCAUCCUCAUCGCCGGCAGCUAGGGUUUUCUCAUCUACUUCCACUCCGAUCACUACCACCCUCUUCCCUGGCGAUGCUAUCAGCCCUGAGAUCAUCGAGUCUGUCAAAUAGGUCCCUCUUUGAUCCUUAUUCACUUUCUGCUCUUCAAUUUCCAUUUAUGACUGGUUUAUUUUGCAUCGGAGUUGUGUAUGAUUGUAUGUUUGUGUAUGCAUCUGUGUAUAAUUAGUUAUAUACACUCACUCGCACUCAAUGAACUUGAAUCUAGGGUUUUGAAUUUAGAUUCUUUAUUGGAUAUUAGAUUAUUUUUUCCCUGAUCGGGUAUUUUUGUUGUUUAGCAUUUUACUAUUCACAAUUUGAUUAUUUGAUUCCUUGUGAGUACCUUCUGCAAUACUAAAGCAAAUAUAAUACAGAAAACUGACAGUCUUUUUGUCAAGGUACAUCAAUUGUUAAUAUGUAUAUAUGAAAAACUGAGUUAGAAGGUUGUAUGCCUUUUCUGUUGCUGAUAGUUCUGUGUAUUAGUUGGUGAGACUCUGUUAAAUUUGCUGCGUUGUUAGCAGCUGUUGGAAGAGUAAUUGGUUCACACAAGAGAUGAGCUAUAUGAUACUUGCUUUAAUAGUGAGUACCAGGCCAAAACUCGAAGGAACUGUUGCAGAUGGAGAAGCCUCAAAUUCAGAGAGUAGACUGAUUUGGUGGUUUCGUGAUAGAUUGAAGAAGGCCUCGGGAGUUUUCUGGGAAAGAAAGAGGAAGGGUGAUCUCUUCAUUGUGAGAGUUGGAAUGAGGAGUGUCGAGUUCAAGGUUAUUGAGACUGAUUAUUCUGAGUAUUGUGUUGUAGCUCUAGACAUUGAAAUAUUUCCAAUAGGGUUUACUAAAGUGGCUACAGAUAAGAAUUCUAAAGCUGGAUCAAAUGUCUAGGCUAGCCUUUGUUAGUUUUGGGGUAUUAUUUUGUGAAUUAUGUUGA